UACGUAGGGGGCAAGCGUUGUCCGGAUUCAUUGGGCGUAAAGAGCGUGUAGGCGGCCAGGUAGGUCGGUUGUGAAAACUGGAGGCUCAACCUUCAGAGGUCGACCGAAACCAUCUGGCUAGAGUCCGGGAGAGGAGAGUGGAAUUCCUGGUGUAGCGGUGAAAUGCGCAGAUAUCAGGAAGAACACCCGUGGCGAAAGCGGCUCUCUGGAACGGUACUGACGCUGAGACGCGAAAAGCGUGGGGGAGCGAAACAGG
rnacentral:rRNA from 1 species